rnacentral:rRNA from 1 species
GGAUUGCCCCAGUAACGGCGAGUGAAGCGGCAACAGCUCAAAUUUGAAAUCUGGCCCUUACGGGUCCGAGUUGUAAUUUGUAGAGGAUGCUUUUGGCAAGGCGCCGCCCGAGUUCCCUGGAACGGGACGCCACAGAGGGUGAGAGCCCCGUCUGGCUGGCCGCCGAGCCUCUGUAAAGCUCCUUCGACGAGUCGAGUAGUUUGGGAAUGCUGCUCAAAAUGGGAGGUAUAUGUCUUCUAAAGCUAAAUAUUGGCCAGAGACCGAUAGCGCACAAGUAGAGUGAUCGAAAGAUGAAAAGCACCUUGAAAAGAGGGUUAAAUAGUACGUGAAAUUGUUGAAAGGGAAGCGCUUGUGACCAGACUUGGGCGCGGCGGAUCAUCCGGGGUUCUCCCCGGUGCACUUCGCCGCGUCCAGGCCAGCAUCAGUUCGUCGCGGGGGAAAAAGGCUUCGGGAACGUGGCUCCCUCGGGAGUGUUAUAGCCCGUUGCGUAAUACCCUGCGGUGGACUGAGGACCGCGCAUCUGCAAGGAUGCUGGCGUAAUGGUCACCAGCGACCCGUCUUGAAACACGGACCAAGGAGUCGUCUUCGUAUGCGAGUGUUCGGGUGUCAAACCCCUACGCGUAAUGAAAGUGAACGCAGGUGAGAGCUUCGGCGCAUCAUCGACCGAUCCUGAUGUUCUCGGAUGGAUUUGAGUAAGAGCAUAC